AGAGUUUGAUUAUGGCUCAGAACGAACGCUGGUGGCGUGUCUAUACAUGCAAGUCGAGCGAGGCAGCAAUGCCGAGCGGCGAACGGGUGAGUAACGCGUAAGCAAUCUGCCCCAUAUCAGGAAAUACCCGUGCCAACGCGCGGUUAAUGUCCAGGAGAGUGGCCCCCUGCAUGGGGGGUUGACUAGAGAUUUAUCGGUAUGGGAUGAGCUUGCGUCCGAUUAGCUAGUUGGCGGGGCAACGGCCCACCAAGGCGACGAUCGGUAGCCGGCCUGAGAGGGUGAUCGGCCACAUUGGGACUGAGAUACGGCCCAGACUCCUACGGGAGGCAGCAGUAGGGAAUAUUGCACAAUGGGGGAAACCCUGAUGCAGCAACGCCCACGUGUGGGAAGAAGCAUUUCGGUGUGUAAACCACUGUCAUGAGGGAAUAAGGCCCGUUUUAGGACGGGAUUGAAUGUACCUUGAGAGGAAGCACCGGCAAACUUCGUGCCAGCCGCGGC
rnacentral:rRNA from 1 species